rnacentral:lncRNA from 1 species
GGAGGACCAGAGUUCAGGAACUAGCAGCAGAGGUUAGCAAUCAUCAUUGUGGGAUUGUGAAAAUAUUUUGAGGUGGGUUUAAUGUUAAAUUUAAACAUUUGGGAUUUUUUUUUUUUUACACAAAUGCUCAUUUACUGUCUCAUCCCUUAAAUAGAAAUUCCUCCUUUCAGCAAAGUUAAACAGGAAAGCAGCAUUUAGAAUCACCUCUUGGGCAACCAAGUAACACUAAGAAAAUGUUUAUCUGAAUAUGAUGAACUUACACCACCUAGAAAACUGCACAGACUUGGGCAGUGAUACCCUAUCAAGUGCCAAAAGUAUGCCAAG